GACGAACGCUGGCGGCGUGGAUAAGGCAUGCAAGUCGAACGGGAACUUAACGACUAAUUCGUUAGGAGUUUUGUUCUAGUGGCGAACGGGUGAGUAACGCGUGAACAACAUACCUCUCAGAGGGGAAUAACACAGGGAAACUUGUGCUAAUACCGCAUAUGUGCUUAUGAUGAUUUCAUAUUCAUGAAAGGUGGGGACCUUCGGGCCUGCCACUGAGAGAUUGGUUCGCGUCCCAUUAGCUUGUUGGUGAGGUAACGGCUCACCAAGGCUGCGAUGGGUAGCCGGCCUGAGAGGGCGACCGGCCACACUGGGAUUGAGAUACGGCCCAGACUCCUUCGGGAGGCAGCAGUCGAGAAUCUUCCACAAUGGACGAAAGUCUGAUGGAGCGACGCCGCGUGAGGGAUUAAGGCUUUCUGAGUCGUAAACCUC
rnacentral:rRNA from 1 species